CGGCUUGUCUCCUGCUGGAUCUGCUUCUGCUGUUGGUUUACCCCACUGGACACCAUCCACUCCAAUUACAACGGGCAAUCAAUCCCUCUUUCACUUGGACGCAGCAUGUUUUUCAUGUUUUUCAGUAGCCGCUGCGAGGACUGAUCCUGACCCGAGUCAGGGACUCCCAGAGAGGAAAUGAGGACUCUGGAGGGGUGGUGGAGGUGACCCUAUAUGGUUAGGACGGUUCACGACAAUCUGUGUGUCCAUCCUGCACAAGGUCCCCAGAAAGCUGUUCUUACAUGGCGUCAAACGGAGCACUAUCAGAGGAGAGGAAGGUUAAAACAGUGCCCGCCAAGCUUUUACCACAGGAAGCUGUUUCAGCUUUUCUACUGACUGUAAAUGUGGCUACCAGAAGUACUAGUUACCGAAACAUUGCAGUCUAAAUUGCAUGAAAUAUGUAAAGAGGAGUUUCGAUUGGAAUUUUAUUUUAAUUUUCACUUGCGAGUUUAUUGGAAAACAUGAUCUCUAAGUGGUUUACUUUCAUUUGGCGUUGACCGUGUCCAGUUAUAGCAAAUAUUUGGAGAUCAAAUAAAUCUUUAAGACGUGCACUUGGCUUUAAAUUCAGCCUAUGUCUCCUUUUUCUUGUGUUAAUAUCUGCCCACGCGUAUAGACAGGCUCUCUGCCAUGGAAAGCCGCGCGAACAGACACACACCUACACACACACAAUCCACAGACAGAGGGAGUUCGGCGAGAUAGGGGACAACAGAAGAAGGAGGAAGAUAAAGGGCAAAAAAAGUUCACCUAAAGGGAAGCGAAUUCGUUCAUUUCAGCUGCAUUGUAUUUUGAUUGAAGAGAGACAACCGAGCAGAGAGCAAACCCUGGACUACUCUCCGCUUGGAAUCAUUUCCGGCUCAAAUGUCCCCAGUUGGUGUUUCUCGGCCUUUCUCAGGCAGACCAAUACAAUGGGCUAUCUGCACAGCUCUUCUUUCAGCUGCAGUCGCUUCGGCUUCGCGAGCUUUGAGUCAGGGCCGUCGCUAUGAAGAUUACAAAUUACCAGAGAAGCUUCGCAUUGAUUUAUUUCCGACGGGAGAGUCAUUUCCGCGGGAAGGUUAGGAAUUUGCCGACUGGCGCGUGGAGCAAAGGACUGGAUAUCAGAUAUCAGCAAAAUCGUAAGAAAUGAUAAUAACAACAAAAACAAUAAUAAUAAUAAAAUGUAUGUUUGACAAUGUUAGACGUUCGUCACACAUCGAUCUUUUUGAGGUUUAGAGGGCUGCAGAUUUAUAACCAAAUCGUGGUCGUGAUUUUAUGUUUAAUAUGUUAGAAUAAUUUCUAUUACUUUUGUUCUUCUUCUUCUUCUUAAUAUUGUAUUAUUAUUAUUUUUCUUAAACUUAAAACAGUUUUGUCUGCAGCAGCCGUCUCGGUAAAAUUCCACACCGUUUCAGCUAAUGUGGCUCACCUUCUGUAUUUUGUCGGUCUUUUCAGCCUUCAGGGGUAUUUUACAGCAGUUAGAAAACUCUUGUUCGCUUGAUUUUUUUGUUGCUUUACUAAUGGGAUAUCUCCUCAUUUGCAAUGCCCCUUUUGCAGCUUGACCAUAAUAUGCAGACAUGGCUCGUUCGCAAACGACGACGUCCCAAAUUUAGCAAAGACAUUUCGACAUGUUGCAUACCCGAAACAAAACGGUUUAGUUAAUCUGUCAGUAAUUACUAAAACCUGACUUUUACCUCCGUCUUUGGCAUAAAAAUAAGUGAUUUAUCCGGACAUAAUUUGAUCUUAAUAAGGACUACAGCUGCAUUAGAAAUAUAGAAAAGAAACACUCGCUGUCAUUUAAGAUAUCUCCCUGCCCGUUUCAAAUAUUUGCUGCGUGGGCAAAGAACAGUGAAACCAUCAACAUAGCUGCCAGUCACAGUGGGAGAAUGCGUCGCGGUUUGCACGCCUGGCUCUCAGGUGCGUCUGCGCUCAUUUGUUCUGACAUUAACUUUGGAUAUAAUCAUAAAAUGCGCGGCGUGAUUACGGUCACUGAGACGUAAAAGCGUUGGGUAAAUAAACACGGAUCAGAGACGUUCACUCGCAAAAACCACAGCAGACGAUAGCCUCUGUUUUGAGGGACAAACAGUCCAGAUACUACAGUAUUCCUGAUAUUUACAACACAACAAAUUCUUUAUUUUAAACGGAUCAUUUAACACACCAUUGGUUACUUUAUGUAGUAUUUUCCGUCAACAAUUCCACUUUGUUCAAUUAAAAUCUUUUCAAAAGAACCGCUUACAAAGACAAGCCAGUAUUUAAUGGGUAAUGUAUUAUUCAAUUAUUUGUAAGGAUACAAUGGAUUGAACAUAUCGCCACAGCGCAUCAGACACACACGGCUCUUCCAAGAGGCCUGUAGAGAAAUUGGAUGCUAAAUAUUUUUCAGUGUAGUUACAGAGAGAGCACGGCUUGCUUUCAGCGUCUACGCCAAGCGACCUGAACAAAUAGAUACACUGCUGCCAAUAAAGCUGGACUUUUUUCAGAUACGUUUUUAUUGUGAAUUAAUUUUUACUGUUUUGUGUUUGGGAGAGACUACUCAAUAUUUUGAGAAGACAUACAUUUUAUCUGUCAAGUAUAAAUCAUAUUAUAGUAAUUUCACAAGAAGGGGUAACAUUUUUUUACUCCAAUCUUAUAGGCUGCAGUGUGUUAUUAUUGGAAUGAAACAGCACCUCCACCCGUUCUCUCUGUCAACAGAAAUGAGCCAAAAUAUUGUUUUUGACACGACAACGAAGAGCGAGAAUAUGCAUGUGGAUAAGAAGCUCUGUCCUCUCUACUGUUGCUAUGGGAUGACUAGUUCUAAUACUAAGGUUUACACUGAUGGCUGUGGCCAGAAGGAGACAGGCGGGCUGGGAUGCGCCAUCCAUCCAUCCAUCCAUCCAUCCAUCCAUCCAUCCAUCCAUCCAUCCAUCUAUCCAUCCAUCCUAAACAAUAACAACUAUAACAAUAAUAAUAAUAAUUUAAUAUUUUGAUAUGUCUGCCAGUGCUUUGUGUUUUUUUCCACAAUAAACUGAUGUGAUCCAA